rnacentral:rRNA from 1 species
CCUACGGGCGGCAGCAGUGAGGAAUAUUGGUCAAUGGGCGUAAGCCUGAACCAGCCAAGUCGCGUGAGGGAUGAAGGUUCUAUGGAUCGUAAACCUCUUUUAUCAGGGAAUAAAGUGCGGGACGUGUCCUGUUUUGUAUGUACCUUAUGAAUCAGGAUCGGCUAACUCCGUGCCAGCAGCCGCGGUAAUACGGAGGAUCCGAGCGUUAUCCGGAUUUAUGGGGUUUAAAGGGAUCGUAGGCGGGCUUUUAAGUCAGCGGUGAAAGUCUGUGGCUCAACCAUAGAAUUGCCGUUGAUACUGGGAGUCUUGAGUAUGUUUGAGGCAGGCGGAAUGCGUGGUGUAGCGGUGAAAUGCUUAGAUAUCACGCAGAACCCCGAUUGCGAAGGCAGCCUGCCAAGCCAUGACUGACGCUGAUGCACGAAAGCGUGGGGAUCAAACAGGAUUAGAUACCCCUGUAGUC